AGAGCUUUUCUAUCUUUUUCUCAUGGGAAGAAAACAAACAAAAAAAAAAACCGAAAUAUUUACAUUCCCCAGAGGGUCUCGGUGAGCUCGGUCGAGUCCCAUCCCCAUAUCUGGCCACGCAAAGCCAGAAAACCUUCCCACUUCCGAAAUGUCUGGGGAAUCGCCCCGCACGGCAGCACUCUCCAUCCUCCCCUUUGGGCGGCUGUCGCGACAGACGCGAUGUCGGGACGGAGGGGCGCACGGGGCGGCCGGACAGCCCCAGCCGCGGUCCCCGGGCGCGCAGCGCAGCGCGGCGCGGAGCGUUUUUCUAAUGCCAACCCCUGGAUGCGCUCGGCGUUUCAAAGGCCUCUGAGAGGAGACCUCUGAGGGAGAGAGGAGAGUGGUUCGGAGGAGAGGACGAAUGGAUUCCUGAGGGAAACAUCUCAUGGUGCUCUUUGGUGGACCAAGAAGUGGACCUUCCAGUGGGCGUCCUGGGGAGGAGAGGAGCGGUGUCGGUCUGCAUUCUCCCAUGACAAAGGGGAACUGCUCGUUUAUUUGCCCUCUCCGGGGAGGGAAUAAACCCGAGGAGGUGACGCUUUGUGCUGAGCCACUGGUCUGUCC
rnacentral:lncRNA from 1 species